CAGUCGCCGCGGUAAUACGUAGGGUGCGAGCGUUAAUCGGAAUUACUGGGCGUAAAGCGUGCGCAGGCGGUUGUGUAAGACAGGUGUGAAAUCCCCGGGCUUAACCUGGGAACUGCGCUUGUGACUGCGCAGCUAGAGUAUGGCAGAGGGGGGUGGAAUUCCACGUGUAGCAGUGAAAUGCGUAGAGAUGUGGAGGAACACCGAUGGCGAAGGCAGCCCCCUGGGCCAAUACUGACGCUCAUGCACGAAAGCGUGGGGAGCAAACAGGAUUAGAUACCCGCGUAGUCCCUGUCUCUUAUAC
rnacentral:rRNA from 1 species